rnacentral:rRNA from 1 species
GACGAACGCUGGCGGCGUGCUUAACACAUGCAAGUCGAACGGAAAGGCCCUUUCGGGGGUACUCGAGUGGCGAACGGGUGAGUAACACGUGGUGAUCUGCCCUGCACUUCGGGAUAAGCUUGGGAAACUGGGUCUAAUACCGGAUAUGAUCACGGCCUUCAUGGGGUGUGGUGGAAAGCUUUUGCGGUGUGGGAUGGGCCCGCGGCCUAUCAGCUUGUUGGUGGGGUAAUGGCCUACCAAGGCGACGACGGGUAGCCGGCCUGAGAGGGUGUCCGGCCACACUGGGACUGAGAUACGGCCCAGACUCCUACGGGAGGCAGCAGUGGGGAAUAUUGCACAAUGGGCGCAAGCCUGAUGCAGCGACGCCGCGUGGGGGAUGACGGCCUUCGGGUUGUAAACCUCUUUCACCAUCGGCGAAGCCAGAUUCUUUUGUUUCUGGUGACGGUAGGUGGAGAAGAAGCACCGGCCAACUACGUGCCAGCCGCCGCAGUAACA